GAUGAAGAACGCAGUGAAAUGCGAUAAGUAAUGCGAAUUGCAGAAUUUCCGUGAGUCAUCGAAUCUUUGAACGCACAUUGCGCCCACUGGUAUUCCGGUGGGCAUGCCUGUUCGAGCGUCAUUUGAAACCUCAAGCUCAGCUUGGUGUUGGGUGUCUGUCCCCGCCUCACCGCGGGGACUCGCCUCAAAAUCAUUGGCGGCCGGUACGUUGGCUUCGAGCGCAGCAGAAACGCGAACUCGAGGCCCGGCGGAUCGGCGACCAGAAGUCACUUCUUCACAGUUUGACCUCGGAUCAGGUAGGGAUACCCGCUGAACUUAAGCAUAUCAAUAAGCGGAGGA
rnacentral:misc_RNA from 1 species